UCUCCGUUGGUGAACCAGCGGAGGGAUCAUUACAGAGUUGCAAAACUCCCAAACCAUUGUGAACGUUACCUAUCCCGUUGCUUCGGCGGGCGGCCCGGGCCCAGAGCCCGGCGCCCCCGGAUCCCCGUGGGCGACCGCCGGAGGUAAACCAAACCCUUGAAUUGCAUGUCAUCUCUGAGUCUUCUAUACUGAAUAAGUCAAAACUUUCAACAACGGAUCUCUUGGUUCUG
rnacentral:misc_RNA from 1 species